UCUCGCUUCACAACGCCCCCUCGACUCAGACAAACACUGCAGCACUCGACAACCUCCGGCAAAUAUGGACAAGAGACUCGUAGUUCUUCUCAUUGUACUGGUGGCAACAAUGUCUGUGUCAGCUAAACCUUCACUGAAAAAAGUGAAAGCUUUAUUUGAAAGAUCAGUAAACCUGGCAGAUCCAGCGGGCUGCUCUAAUCUUCAAGGAGAUGACUUUUGUAACUGGUACAUCGAUGCGGGUAUAGUCAAAUGUAGCGACUCUCAAGUAAGCCAAGGCUGUCAGGCAUCUUGUGGUGUAUGUUGAGGUGAGACGAAAUGAUGGACGUCCUGUAAUCAUUUAUAACGUAGCCCUGUAAUCCUUUAUAACGUAGCCCUGUAAUCCUUUAUAACAUAUUUAUGGCAGUAAUGAGUGAUUUUAGAAUAAACGCAUUAUGAUAAAAUGGUA